UUGAACGCUGGCGGCAGGCCUAACACAUGCAAGUCGAGCGGUAGCACAGAGAGCUUGCUCUCGGGUGACGAGCGGCGGACGGGUGAGUAAUGUCUGGGAAACUGCCUGAUGGAGGGGGAUAACUACUGGAAACGGUAGCUAAUACCGCAUAACGUCGCAAGACCAAAGUGGGGGACCUUCGGGCCUCAUGCCAUCAGAUGUGCCCAGAUGGGAUUAGCUAGUAGGUGGGGUAACGGCUCACCUAGGCGACGAUCCCUAGCUGGUCUGAGAGGAUGACCAGCCACACUGGAACUGAGACACGGUCCAGACUCCUACGGGAGGCAGCAGUGGGGAAUAUUGCACAAUGGGCGCAAGCCUGAUGCAGCCAUGCCGCGUGUGUGAAGAAGGCCUUCGGGUUGUAAAGCACUUUCAGCGGGGAGGAAGGCGAUAAGGUUAAUAACCUUGUCGAUUGACGUUACCCGCAGAAGAAGCACCGGCUAACUCCGUGCCAGCAGCCGCGGUAAUACGGAGGGUGCAAGCGUUAAUCGGAAUUACUGGGCGUAAAGCGCACGCAGGCGGUCUGUCAAGUCGGAUGUGAAAUCCCCGGGCUCAACCUGGGAACUGCAUUCGAAACUGGCAGGCUAGAGUCUUGUAGAGGGGGGUAGAAUUCCAGGUGUAGCGGUGAAAUGCGUAGAGAUCUGGAGGAAUACCGGUGGCGAAGGCGGCCCCCUGGACAAAGACUGACGCUCAGGUGCGAAAGCGUGGGGAGCAAACAGGAUUAGAUACCCUGGUAGUCCACGCCGUAAACGAUGUCGAUUUGGAGGUUGUGCCCUUGAGGCGUGGCUUCCGGAGCUAACGCGUUAAAUCGACCGCCUGGGGAGUACGGCCGCAAGGUUAAAACUCAAAUGAAUUGACGGGGGCCCGCACAAGCGGUGGAGCAUGUGGUUUAAUUCGAUGCAACGCGAAGAACCUUACCUGGUCUUGACAUCCACAGAACUUUCCAGAGAUGGAUUGGUGCCUUCGGGAACUGUGAGACAGGUGCUGCAUGGCUGUCGUCAGCUCGUGUUGUGAAAUGUUGGGUUAAGUCCCGCAACGAGCGCAACCCUUAUCCUUUGUUGCCAGCGGUUAGGCCGGGAACUCAAAGGAGACUGCCAGUGAUAAACUGGAGGAAGGUGAGGAUGACGUCAAGUCAUCAUGGCCCUUACGACCAGGGCUACACACGUGCUACAAUGGCAUAUACAAAGAGAAGCGACCUCGCGAGAGCAAGCGGACCUCAUAAAGUAUGUCGUAGUCCGGAUUGGAGUCUGCAACUCGACUCCAUGAAGUCGGAAUCGCUAGUAAUCGUAGAUCAGAAUGCUACGGUGAAUACGUUCCCGGGCCUUGUACACACCGCCCGUCACACCAUGGGAGUGGGUUGCAAAAGAAGUAGGUAGCUUAACCUUCGGGAGGGCGCUUACCACUUUGUGAUUCAUGACUGGGGUG
rnacentral:rRNA from 1 species